GUAUCCGUCAUGCGUAACUGUUCGGUUGAGCGUUCAUAAUAAUUAUGAACGAAACGAAAAUUCGAUAAAUGGAGCCGAGAGAAUAUUCCUUUGCAAAUAGAAUCGCAACAUUGGAUCGAGUGUUCGAUUCAAAUAUCGAAGUGACAGACGGUCCGAUCACACAAGUUUUAAUUGGCUUGUUUUCGCUCCGGACGUAACCGCGGUCCUCCCAAAAUGAUCAUCAUUAUCGUCAUCUGGUCGCACGACGCUCCGGGGUGUUGGCGCCAACGACACCACACGACUUCUACUUAAUGAAUACUGAAAGGUGUUUGAUAACGAAUAAAAAUGCAGCGUGGAAACCACGCAGAAAGCAGAGAAAAAUAUAACCACUUGCAGUCUUAAAAACACACACCUGUUCCCAAGAAAAAUAAGGGCAAAC